UACGGAGGAUCCAAGCGUUAUCCGGAUUUAUUGGGUUUAAAGGGUGCGUAGGCGGCCUGUUAAGUCAGGGGUGAAAGACGGUAGCUCAACUAUCGCAGUGCCCUUGAUACUGAUGGGCUUGAAUGUACUAGAGGUAGGCGGAAUGUGACAAGUAGCGGUGAAAUGCAUAGAUAUGUCUCAGAACACCGAUUGCGAAGGCAGCUUACUAUGGUUUUAUUGACGCUGAGGCACGAAAGCGUGGGGAUCAAACAGG
rnacentral:rRNA from 1 species